GAUGAACGCUGGCGGCGUGCCUAAUACAUGCAAGUCGAGCGAACAGACGAGGAGCUUGCUCCUCUGACGUUAGCGGCGGACGGGUGAGUAACACGUGGAUAACCUACCUAUAAGACUGGGAUAACUUCGGGAAACCGGAGCUAAUACCGGAUAAUAUAUUGAACCGCAUGGUUCAAUAGUGAAAGACGGUUUUGCUGUCACUUAUAGAUGGAUCCGCGCCGCAUUAGCUAGUUGGUAAGGUAACGGCUUACCAAGGCAACGAUGCGUAGCCGACCUGAGAGGGUGAUCGGCCACACUGGAACUGAGACACGGUCCAGACUCCUACGGGAGGCAGCAGUAGGGAAUCUUCCGCAAUGGGCGAAAGCCUGACGGAGCAACGUCGCGUGAGUGACGAAGGUCUUCGGAUCGUAAAACUCUGUUAUUAGGGAAGAACAAAUGUGUAAGUAACUAUGCACGUCUUGACGGUACCUAAUCAGAAAGCCACGGCUAACUACGUG
rnacentral:rRNA from 1 species